rnacentral:tRNA from 1 species
GCGGACAUAGUUUAAGCCAAAACACCAGACCGUGAACCUGGAAACAGAGGCCCCACCCCUCUUGUCCACC